AAAAAGAGGUUGAGAUAUAGGAGUAUAUAGCGUCAGUUAUAAACUUAUUGGUGUAACGUUUUCGAUUCGUCGUACACUUUAUGUGAUUACGAUCUCGAACCAGGACAAAGAAGAUCAUGCAUUUGUCAUGAACAAAGAGAAAUUCUGAAAGCCUUAUUUGACCAGGGAAUAACGAGAAGAGGGUCGCCUUUGACGGCUGAGGCAGCCACCUGAACUGGACUGUCGGAGAGUGGUGGAGCCUAUGCUGGUCUAUGCUGUUUUUUUUCAACAGGGCUUCCAAAACAGGAAUUCCUCACUCCAGCAUAGCAAUUACCCACAACAGCCUGUGACCAUGACCCAACACACCUCCAGGCUGUGUAAAGGCUAUUUGACCAAGAAGGAGAGUGAUGGAGUGCUGCAUCAGAUAACCUGGCCUCCACAAUCAGAUGGUUUGGGAUGAGUUGGACCGCGGAGUGAAGGAAAAGCAUCCAACAAGUGCUCAGUAUAUGUGGGAACUCCUUUAUGACUGUUGGAAAAGUAUUCCAGGUGAAGCUGGUUGAACAAAUGCCAACAGUGUGCAAAGCUGUCAUCAAGGAAAAGGGUGGCUACUUUGAAGAAUCUCAAAUAUAAAAUGUAUUUUGAUUUGUUUAACACUUUUUGGUUACUUCAUUUUCCAUACGUGUUAUUUCAUAGUUUUGAUGUCUUCACUAUUAUUCUACAAUGUAGAAAAUGGUAAGAAACUAAGAAACACUUGAAUAAGUAGGUGUGUCCAAACUUUUGACUGGUACUGUAAGUGUUCACAAUACAUGUUAAAAAUCACCUUUAUCAGUGAUUACAGCUGUGUUUCUUUCUGGGUACGUUUCUAAGAGAUAUUCACACCUGGAUUGUACAAUAUUUGCACAUGAUUCCUUUAACGUCUUCAAGCUCUCAAGUUGGUUGUUGAUCAUUGCUAGACAGCCAUGUUAAAGUCUUGCCAUAGAUUUAAGUCAAAACUGUAACUAGGACACUCUGGAACAAUCAAUGUCAGUGUAUAUUUGGCCUUGUGUUUUAGGUUAGUGUCUUGCUGAAAGGACCAUUUGUCUCACAGUGUCUGUUGAAAAGCAGAAUAAAACAGGUUUUCCUCUAGGAUUAUGCUCUGUUAGUUCCCUUUUAUCCCCCCAAACUAUCCUUAGACAAGCAUACCCAUAACAUGAUGCAGACACCACCAUGCUUGAAAAUUUGAAGAGCGAUAUUCAGUAAUGUGUUGUGCUGGAUUCGCCCCAAACAUAACACUUUGUAAUCAGGACAUAAAGUUAAAUUCUUUGCCAUUUAUUUUGUUGCAGUUUUACUUUAGUGCCUUAUUGCAAACAGGAUACAUGUUUUGGAAUAUUUGUAUUUUGUACAGGCUUUCUUCUUUUCACUCUGUCAUUUAGUUAGUAUUGGAGUAAUGUUGUUGAUCCAUCAUCAGUUUUCUCCUAUCACAGCCAUUAAACUCUGAAACAGUUUUAAGGUCACCUUUUGCUUGGUGAAAUCUCUGAGCAGUUUCCUUCCUCUCUGGCAACUGAGUUUUGAAGGACACCUGUAUUUUUGUAAUGACUGGUGUUGAUACACCAUCCAAAGUGUAAUUAAUAACUUUA